AGACACUCGAACGCGCGCGCGCGCGCGAGCGUGCUCUGGCCCCUCCCUAGGCGGGGAGGGAGGCAGAAGCUGGCAGCCCAACGCGGCUGCACUUGGCUCCGGGGCACACUCUUUCCAAACCUCUCUGGCACCAAACUCUUCCUCUGUCCUCGGGAAACGCUGGCCGUGCGCACUCACCUCGGAGCUGAGUUUGGGCUCCCCUCUGUCCUCUGAUUUGUGGGGGACCCAAGAACAGGGUAGGAGUAGAAAUCAGAAGGAAAGAGAUUUGGAGAGAGACACGUGGCAGUGAGGCAGAGACCCACUCACAGCUGAGAUAGAGAGAUGGUGAGAGAGAUACCCAAGAGACUGAGAGACAUUCAGAGAGCAGAAAGCUCUCUGAGAGGCAGAGGCAGAGAAACGCGCAACGACAGACUCGAGGAGCCCUAGUGGACGAACCGGAGACAAACUGGACGUGGCGGCCGUGUCGCUCGGCCAAUCAGUGCCCCGAGAGUCGCUCAGAGGGCCGUGGGCCCAGCCCAUCUUUCCUGGAUGCUCAGAAACCCAGCCGCAUCUCUACAGGAGUCGAGGAUCCCAAUCUCUGCAAACUCAGGUCCUGCCCCAGCAGGGAGGGAGGGAAGCGGACCCCUGCCCGACCCAACAUGCUUGUGUCCGCAACCGGGCGUCCAGUGCGGGUCUAGGCACACGUCUCUUCCGCUGGGAAGAAAACUCCGUCCGCUGGGGUCUGGCCUCCGCGUCUAGCGCAGCGCUGCCCCGAGGAAGCUCAUUGCGCAAAGGCGGCGAGCGCCCGGCCGGGCCAGAGAGCCCCAGUCCAGAGCGGAGUCUUUGAGAGCGGAGUUGGCAGACUAAUGGCCUAAGUUCGCGUCCCGACCCCACAGCUUCCUGUAUGAUUUUGAGGCCUCCCCGAGCCUGUUUUCUCACUUUGUAAAUUUGGGGAUAACAGCGAUCUCUUGGCGUGACUGUGGGGACGGUGAGAAUCUAAAGAGACGGGAGAUGUGGAAGCCAGCAGUCCCAGGUGCAAGGCCAUCCUAGCAAGAGGGCUUGCUUCUGUCGCUGGCCUGCCUGGCCCGUGUGCUCCCUGGGGGCCUCCCAGCUGUAGGCUAGGGCACGCAGGCCUGACGGGGCCCUUGGGAGUCUCAGGGCUCAGCUCCUGAGGAGGCCUCAGCUGCACUUCUUCCCAGCAGGCCGACUCGAGAGGCUGCGAAUAGAAGGCGCAGCAACCACCUCGUGGGGCCUCUGGCUCUCUCACAGCCCUGGGUGCUGCCACCCUGUAGAGCGUUCAGCCUCUUCCUGAGUCUGCAGUCUACACCUCCCCCUCCAAACUCUGGCUGGAAAUCUCCCUGGGACCAGACACCCCUACCUGGGUCUCUCCUCCUGGAGCCCAGAGAUAGAAACACGAAUGAGCUUUGUGUCUUUCCCAGAAACUUCCGGAAGCUGUCCUAGCUGGUCCUCUGGGCCCUGGGAAGCCCUGCCUUCCCACCAAAACUGAAGGGCUCUCAUGGAGCCCUGCCUUCUUCGUUCUCUGCCACUUGCAGGAGUGCUGAAGCUCCCCUUCAGGAAGUAACUUCACUCUUUAACACCACCUUCAUUUAUUCAUUCAACAGAUAUCAUGCAGCAUCCAGUAUGUGCCAGGAGCAUGCUGGUUACUGGAGAGCAAGCAGGGAGACCAACUAGGAGGCCACAGCCAUAAUCCAAGUGGGUGGCGCUGGUGGCUUAGAUCUGAAUGGCGGCAGUGGAGAUGAUGACAAGUGGUUCAGUUCCAGAUGUAUCUUGAAGAUGGAGCCAGUGAGACUUAUUCAUGAUUGGAUGUGGGCAGGGAGACAAGAGAGGAGUAAGGACGACUCCUGGGAGAAUGGAGUUGCAGAAGAGCAGGUUUGCUGGGGGCAGAACGAGAGCCCAGGUUGGGGCAAAAUUCGAGAUGCAUACUCAACAUCCAGGUGGAGAGGUCAAUGAGGCAGAGGAUUUGUGAGGCUCAAGUUCCAGAGGGGACGUCUGGGCAUGAGGAAGACCAGUCCACUCAACCUCUCAGACAUCUCUCAGGUCUCUGCACCCCCAGAGUCACCAUCCUGGACUCAGCUGCCACACUGCUGGCCUGAAACCACAGUGACCUCCCGGCUGCUCCCUCACAUCCACUCUUGCCCCAGUUGACCAUUCACUCCACAGCAGCCUGAGUAAUCCCUUUAAGAUAUAAACGGGAUUAUACCCUCUGCUGCUUCAGACAUCCUAAGAGCUGCUCACUGCGUUUAGAAUAAAAUCUCAUCUUCCUGCCCUGGCCUGGAAGGCCCUGCAUGAGCUAGCCUCAGCCCACCUCUGCAAUUCAGUCUGGAAGCACUGUCCCCUUUGGUCACUCCAUUCUAGCCUGACCUCCUCUCCCGACUUCCAAUGCACUGAGGACCGUCCUGCCCUGGAGCCUGGUACUUGCUGUUUAUAGGAUGUCUGCCGGGCUCUCCCCGCCAUUGGCUGCUUUUCACGGAUCAGGUCUCGGCUCAAGUGUUGUCUCCUCGGGACGUCUCUGCCAUCCUCUCGAAGGUAGCUGGGUCGCAUCACCCUGCUCAUUUCCUCCUUGGCACAGCCACUCUUUAAUGAUCUUCUUUAUUAGUUCGUUCAUUGAUUGAUGUGGCCCCAUGAAGGCAGGGACGUGUUGUCCACCAUGGCAUUUCCAGAAAACAUCACAGCAACUGUCACAUAGUAAGAACUUGAGAAAUGUCAGAUGAACAAAUGGGUGGCCUCAUGCCUUUGACUCUGUCUCUAUAUAUUUGAACUUCUUGAAAUAUGUCAUUAAUGAGGAUGAUUGUAUUUCUUCUAAACUGGACAGUCACAUAUAUGAUUAGACACACAUGCUGGUCACCCUUGCUCUUCCCAGGCAAGACCCAGGCCCAACUGCCCAGGGCAUGAGCCUCUCUGUUAAGCAGUUGCACACGCCUGUUGCAAUAUCAUAAUAGGAUACUACAGAGAGAAGUGGUGCUUAUUAUAAGCUUGAAUCUUUUCAUUUGACUUACACUCACAAUGACGAAGGGAAUAAUUGUUAUCUUAGUAACUUAGACUGAAACAAAUAGUCCUCCUUAUUGUUCAAACCUCAGCAGAAUGCCUGACACCUACUAGACACUCAAUAACUAUUUGUUGGGUGGAUGAAUGAAUCAAAUUCUUGAAUCUAAGAGUACCCUGAGAUUUCCAGGUGAGCUCUUUAAGCCACUUAUCCUUGCAAACCCAGAUUCUUCUCAAACCUGAGCAAGCAAAGGUAACACAGAAAUAAAUUGGAUGCUGAGACUUAAAUGAUUACAACUUUGCUUUUUGUGUUUGUGUUCAUAAAAGCCGCCUCAGGGCUGUCAUCACGGUGCCUUUACAACAAGUAAAUGUUCUAUGUUCGAACUUACCAAAC
rnacentral:lncRNA from 1 species